rnacentral:rRNA from 1 species
AGAGUUUGAUCCUGGCUCAGAACGAACGCUGGCGGCGUGGAUAAGACAUGCAAGUCGAACGAGAGAAUUGCUAGCUUGCUAAUAAUUCUCUAGUGGCGCACGGGUGAGUAACACGUGAGUAACCUGCCCCCGAGAGCGGGAUAGCCCUGGGAAACUGGGAUUAAUACCGCAUAGUAUCGAAAGAUUAAAGCAGCAAUGCGCUUGAGGAUGGGCUCGCGGCCUAUUAGUUAGUUGGUGAGGUAACGGCUCACCAAGGCGAUGACGGGUAGCCGGUCUGAGAGGAUGUCCGGCCACACUGGAACUGAGACACGGUCCAGACACCUACGGGUGGCAGCAGUCGAGAAUCAUUCACAAUGGGGGAAACCCUGAUGGUGCGACGCCGCGUGGGGGAAUGAAGGUCUUCGGAUUGUAAACCCCUGUCAUGUGGGAGCAAAUUAAAAAGAUAGUACCACAAGAGGAAGAGACGGCUAACUCUGUGCCAGCAGCCGCGGUAAUACAGAGGUCUCAAGCGUUGUUCGGAAUCACUGGGCGUAAAGCGUGCGUAGGCUGUUUCGUAAGUCGUGUGUGAAAGGCGCGGGCUCAACCCGCGGACGGCACAUGAUACUGCGAGACUAGAGUAAUGGAGGGGGAACCGGAAUUCCCGGUGUAGCAGUGAAAUGCGUAGAUAUCGAGAAGAACACUCGUGGCGAGGGCGGGUUCCUGGACAUUAACUGACGCUGAGGCACGAAGGCCAGGGGAGCGAAAGGGAUUAGAUACCCCUGUAGUCCUGGCAGUAAACGGUGCACGCUUGGUGUGCGGGGAAUCGACCCCCUGCGUGCCGGAGCUAACGCGUUAAGCGUGCCGCCUGGGGAGUACGGUCGCAAGAUUAAAACUCAAAGAAAUUGACGGGGACCCGCACAAGCGGUGGAGUAUGUGGCUUAAUUCGAUGCAACGCGAAGAACCUUACCUGGGCUUGACAUGUAAUGAACAACAUGUGUAAGCAUGCGACUCUUCGGAGGCGUUACACAGGUGCUGCAUGGCCGUCGUCAGCUCGUGUCGUGAGAUGUUUGGUUAAGUCCAGCAACGAGCGCAACCCCUGUUGCCAGUUACCAGCACGUGAAGGUGGGGACUCUGGCGAGACUGCCCAGAUCAACUGGGAGGAAGGUGGGGACGACGUCAGGUCAGUAUGGCCCUUAUGCCCAGGGCUGCACACGUACUACAAUGCCCAGUACAGAGGGGGCCGAAGCCGCGAGGCGGAGGAAAUCCUAAAAACUGGGCCCAGUUCGGACUGUAGGCUGCAACCCGCCUACACGAAGCCGGAAUCGCUAGUAAUGGCGCAUCAGCUACGGCGCCGUGAAUACGUUCCCGGGUCUUGCACACACCGCCCGUCA